rnacentral:rRNA from 1 species
AGUGAACGCUGGCGGUAGGCCUAACACAUGCAAGUCGAACGGCAACACAGUAAGAGCUUGCUCUUACGGGUGGCGAGUGGCGGACGGGUGAGGAAUACAUCGGAAUCUACUUUUUCGUGGGGGAUAACGUAGGGAAACUUACGCUAAUACCGCAUACGACCUACGGGUGAAAGCAGGGGAUCUUCGGACCUUGCGCGAUUGUAUGAGCCGAUGACGGAUUAGCUAGUUGGCGGGGUAAAGGCCCACCAAGGCGACGAUGCGUAGCUGACCUGAGAGGAUGAUCGGCCACACUGGAACUGAGACACGGUCCAGACUCCUACGGGAGGCAGCAGUGGGGAAUAUUGGACAAUGGGCGCAAGCCUGACCCAGCCAUACCGCGUGAGUGAAGAAGGCCUUCGGGUUGUAAAGCCCUUUUGUUGGGAAAGAAAAGCUGCAGGUGAAUACCCCGCUGUUCUGACGGUACCCAAAGAAUAAGCACCGGCUAACUUCGUG